ACUCAAAUGAAUUGACGGGGGCCCGCACAAGCGGUGGAGCAUGUGGUUUAAUUCGAUGCAACGCGAAGAACCUUACCUGGGCUUGACAUGAACUGGAAGAGUGGCGGAGACGUCCUCGCCCGCAAGGGUCGGUUCACAGGUGCUGCAUGGCUGUCGUCAGCUCGUGUCGUGAGAUGUUGGGUUAAGUCCCGCAACGAGCGCAACCCUUACCUUUAGUUGCCAGCAUUUAGUUGGGCACUCUAAAGGGACUGCCUGCGUUAAGCAGGAGGAAGGUGGGGAUGACGUCAAGUCCUCAUGGCCCUUAUGUCCAGGGCUACACACGUGCUACAAUGGUGGUCACAGAGGGAAGCCAAGCCGCGAGGUGGAGCUAAUCCCUUAAAAGCCAUCUAAGUUCAGAUUGGUCUCUGCAACUCGAGACCAUGAAGUUGGAAUCGCUAGUAAUCGCGGAUCAGAACGCCGCGGUGAAUACGUUCCCGGGCCUUGCACACACCGCCCGU
rnacentral:rRNA from 1 species